UACGAAGGGGGCUAGCGUUGCUCGGAAUCACUGGGCGUAAAGGGUGCGUAGGCGGGUCUUUAAGUCAGGGGUGAAAUCCUGGAGCUCAACUCCAGAACUGCCUUUGAUACUGAAGAUCUUGAGUUCGGGAGAGGUGAGUGGAACUGCGAGUGUAGAGGUGAAAUUCGUAGAUAUUCGGAGGAACACCGGUGGCGAAGGCGGCCAACUGGACAGAUACUGACGCUGAGACUCGAAAGCGUGGGGAGCAAACAGG
rnacentral:rRNA from 1 species